rnacentral:rRNA from 1 species
UACGUAGGGUGCAAGCGUUAUUCGGAAUCACUGGGCGUAAAGGGCGCGCAGGCGGUUUUGUAAGUCUAAAGUGAAAUCCUUGGGCUUAAACCACGGGCUGCUUUAUAUACUGCAAAACUCGAGUUCGGGAAAAGCAAGCGGAAUUCCUGGUGAAGGGGUGAAAUCCGUAGAUAUCAGGAAGAACACCAGUGGCGAAAGCGUCUUGCUAGAACGCAACUGACGCUUAGGCGAGAAAGCGUGGGGAGCAAACAGG